CUUGGUCAUUUAGAGGAAGUAAAAGUCGUAACAAGGUUUCCGUAGGUGAACCUGCGGAAGGAUCAUUAAUGAAAUCCAAAUUGGUUGGUGUCCUGAUGCCAAAAGGAUCAGGCCCUGCCAUCAUUUCAUACACCUUUGUCGAACUGUAGGGAGAUGGGUUGAUACCUAUCUUUCACUUUUUCAUACUCUUAAAGUCUGAGAAUGAAGUCUUGGUUAAAACCAAAAUAUAAUUUUCAACAACGGAUCUCUUGGCUCUCGCAUCGAUGAAGAACGCAGCGAAAUGCGAUAAGUAAUGUGAAUUGCAGAAUUCAGUGAAUCAUCGAAUCUUUGAACGCAUCUUGCACCCUGGGGUAUUCCCUAGGGUAUGUCUGUCUGAGUGUUAUUUAAACUCUCAAAGUUCUUUUCCCUUGAUUGGGUCAGGAUACUUUGGAUCAUGGGUGCUUGCGGGCUUUGGCUUGCUCACCUUGAAUGGAAUGUGGCAUUCUUCUCUGAAGCUGCUGCUGGGUUUGACCUGGAGUGAUAGAAGACUUUCGAGAUCUCUAGGGAACUGUCUUUUGAUGGUGCCUGCUGUGGUGGGAGGGAGUGUCUAUCAGACUUAUUUGACGAUUUUAACCUCAGAUCAGGCAGGAUUACCCGCUGAACUUAAGCAUAUCAAUAAGCGGAGG
rnacentral:rRNA from 1 species